GACAGAGGGGGCAAGCGUUGCUCGGAAUCACUGGGCGUAAAGGGCGCGUAGGCGGGAUGGCAAGUCGGUCGUGAAAUCCUUCGGCUCAACCGAAGAACGUCGGCCGAUACUGCCGUUCUUGAGGGAUGCAGAGGAGAUUGGAAUUUACGGUGUAGCAGUGAAAUGCGUAGAUAUCGUAAGGAAGACCAGUGGCGAAGGCGAAUCUCUGGACAGUUACUGACACUGAGGCACGAAGGCCA
rnacentral:rRNA from 1 species